GAUGAACGCUGGCGGCGUGCCUAACACAUGCAAGUCGAGCGAUUUACUUCGGUAAAGAGCGGCGGACGGGUGAGCAACGCGUGGGUAACCUGCCCUGUACACACGGAUAACAUACCGAAAGGUAUGCUAAUACGAGAUAAUAUGCUUUUAUCGCAUGGUAGAAGUAUCAAAGCUUUUGCGGUACAGGAUGGACCCGCGUCUGAUUAGCUAGUUGGUAAGGUAACGGCUUACCAAGGCGACGAUCAGUAGCCGACCUGAGAGGGUGAUCGGCCACAUUGGAACUGAGACACGGUCCAAACUCCUACGGGAGGCAGCAGUGGGGAAUAUUGCACAAUGGGCGAAAGCCUGAUGCAGCAACGCCGCGUGAGCGAUGAAGGCCUUCGGGUCGUAAAGCUCUGUCCUCAAGGAAGAUAAUGACGGUACUUGAGGAGGAAGCCACGGCUAACUAUGUGCCAGCAGCCGCCGCGG
rnacentral:rRNA from 1 species